AUCUGUUCUUAUCAGUUUAAUAUCCGAUACGUCCCCCAUGGGACUACAUAUUAAAUGGAUUUUUGGAACAGGGAGCUGGAUCAGGAGCUUGCUCAGUCCUCUCCACGCAUCGGCCCGGUAU
rnacentral:snRNA from 1 species